rnacentral:rRNA from 1 species
GACGAACGCUGGCGGCGUGCUUAACACAUGCAAGUCGAACGGAAAGGCCCUGCUUUUGUGGGGUGCUCGAGUGGCGAACGGGUGAGUAACACGUGAGUAACCUGCCCUUGACUUUGGGAUAACUUCAGGAAACUGGGGCUAAUACCGGAUAGGAGCUCCUGCUGCAUGGUGGGGGUUGGAAAGUUUCGGCGGUUGGGGAUGGACUCGCGGCGUAUCAGCUUGUUGGUGGGGUAGUGGCUUACCAAGGCUUUGACGGGUAGCCGGCCUGAGAGGGUGACCGGCCACAUUGGGACUGAGAGACGGCCCAGACUCCUACGGGAGGCAGCAGUGGGGAAUAUUGCACAAUGGGCGGAAGCCUGAGGCAGCAACGCCGCGUGCGGGAUGACGGCCUUCGGGGUGUAAACCGCUUUCGCCUGUGACGAAGCGGGAGUGACGGUAAUGGGUAAAGAAGCACCGGCUAACUACGUG